UUGGAGGGCAAGUCUGGUGCCAGCAGCCGCGGUAAUUCCAGCUCCAAUAGCGUAUAUUAAAGUUGUUGCAGUUAAAAAGCUCGUAGUUGAAUUUCGGGAUCAGAGUGUCGGUCGUGCCUCGGUACGCACUGGUAUUAUUGGUUCCUACCUUCUGAAGAACCGCGAUGUCAUUAAUUUGGUGUCGUGGGGAAUCAGGACUGUUACUUUGAAAAAAUUAGAGUGUUUAAAGCAGGCUUACGCUUGAAUACAUUAGCAUGGAAUAAUGAAAUAGGACGUUUGAUUCUAUUUUGUUGGUUUCUAGGAUUGACGUAAUGAUUAAUAGGGAUAGUUGGGGGCAUUAGUAUUCAAUUGUCAUAGGUGAAAUUCUUGGAUUUAUUGAAGACUAACUACUGCGAAAGCAUUUGCCAAGGAUGUUUUCAUUAAUCAAGAACGAAAGUUAGGGGAUCGAAGACGAUCAGAUACCGUCGUAGUCUUAACCAUAAACUAUGCCGACUGGGGAUCGGAUGAUGUUAAUUUUUUAAUGACUCAUUCGGCGCCUUACGGGAAACCAAAGUGUUUGGGUUC
rnacentral:rRNA from 1 species